rnacentral:rRNA from 1 species
GAUGAACGCUGGCGGCGUGCCUAACACAUGCAAGUCGAGCGAAGCACUUACUUUAGAUUUCUUCGGAAUGACGAAGUUUGUGACUGAGCGGCGGACGGGUGAGUAACGCGUGGGCAACCUGCCCUGUACAGGGGGAUAACAGUUAGAAAUGACUGCUAAUACCGCAUAAGCCCACAGCUUCGCAUGAAGCAGUGGGAAAAACUCCGGUGGUACAGGAUGGGCCCGCGUCUGAUUAGCUAGUUGGUAAGGUAACGGCUUACCAAGGCGACGAUCAGUAGCCGACCUGAGAGGGUGACCGGCCACAUUGGGACUGAGACACGGCCCAAACUCCUACGGGAGGCAGCAGUGGGGAAUAUUGCACAAUGGGGGAGACCCUGAUGCAGCGACGCCGCGUGAGCGAUGAAGUAUUUCGGUAUGUAAAGCUCUAUCAGCAGGGAAGAAAGGGACGGUACCUGACUAAGAAGCCCCGGCUAACUACGU